GCUAAGAUCAUUAGCAUGAGCUUGUAACCCGAGCGGGGGCACUAAGGUGGUGUAGACGUUGUUGUAGGGCUAUGGGCCUGGUCUGGGUGCGCGGUUGAUGGCUCGGCCGUUCCAAGUUGAGUAGUGUACAGCUUAGGGUUUGUGCGAAAGUUGAGCCCCACGGGCCAUAAUGUGGUAGGCACAGUGUGAGGCUAGCUUCAUGGAGUAGCGACCAGGACCCACUUCCAAUAGUGGCAUCAUCAGCGGUUUUAUGAGUAUUUGGAAGUUUCGAUCUAGAUCACAUGUGAUUGUGUGGGUGAUGAUCUUG
rnacentral:SRP_RNA from 1 species